CUUCUCACCGUAAGUUUCAUUGUGGCCAUCAUACAGACAACAAGCUCCUCCGUCCUGUGGAAACACUCAUAAUGAAAGCCAUCACUUUCGUCCAGAGGGAAAUCGAACGGAUGAUGUGUCUUGGGAGGCACUGAGACGAUCACUUUUUUCAUCAUUCGCAUCACAGUCGGUCAAGUGUCUGGUGAGAUGCCGCGUUGGGCAAUCCUGUAUUCAUGGCGAGUGUCGUCGAAGAUCUGGUUACGGGAGGUGAUGGAUUUGCGUGUUAGAAUUGAGGUAACCUUAGUGAUCGAUUGAA